rnacentral:rRNA from 1 species
GUGGAUUAGAUACCCUGGUAGUCCACCCCGUAAACGUUGGGAACUAGUUGUGGGGUCCAUUCCACGGAUUCCGUGACGCAGCUAACGCAUUAAGUUCCCCGCCUGGGGAGUACGGCCGCAAGGCUAAAACUCAAAGGAAUUGACGGGGACCCGCACAAGCGGCGGAGCAUGCGGAUUAAUUCGAUGCAACGCGAAGAACCUUACCAAGGCUUGACAUACACCAGAACACCGUAGAAAUACGGGACUCUUUGGACACUGGUGAACAGGUGGUGCACGGUCGUCGUCAGCU